CAGUAAGGCACAAAAAGCGACAAAGUCCAGCGUUGGCACGCGGAAACUUCUCCGGCCAACGAAGAGGAGGGUAGAAAUUAAGGGAGAAAGGAGGAGGAGGAGGAGGAGCCAAUUGUGGGUUGCUGAGAUCCAAAGAUGCACGCCAAGACCGACUCCGAGGUCACGAGCAUCGCGCCCUCGUCGCCCACCCGGCCGGUGUACUACGUGCAGAGCCCGUCGCGUGACUCCCAUGACGACGCAGAAGACCUCGAAGUCAGCUCCUCCUCGCCCUCUCCCUCCUGUCUUCGGUUUCGACGGCGGCGACGAUGACUAUGACAUCGAGAGGGAAAUCUCACGGCAGACGUCUAAGAACAAGUCUCUCCAGAGGAAAAUCUGCAUACUAUAUUCUGCAUACUUAUUCUUAGUAUUGAUGAGUAAAUGAAUUUAUUGAGGAGCAGCAAAAAAGGCAAUGGAAGAGGAUUCGACUACGACGAGAUGAAGGGGAAGAUUGCGCGUCCCAAGGUUCAGGAUCGAACGGAGAGAAAAGUAUACUUUUGCCUACGUUUGAAUGAAAACAUGAUCCUUUUGAUUACGCUGAUAAUCGUAUGGAAUUACCAUAUUGCCAUGUUUCGUGGUGAUAUAUACAAGUUUUUAGUGUCAUCACUGUA